rnacentral:rRNA from 1 species
CAAGGAAUUUUCCCCAAUGGGCGCAAGCCUGAGGGAGCAACGCCGCGUGCAGGACGACGGCCUUCGGGUUGUAAACUGCUUUUGCGUGGGACGAUAACGACGGUACCACGCGAAUCAGCCCCGGCUAACUCUGUGCCAGCAGCCGCGGUAAUACAGAGGGGGCAAGCGUUGUCCGGACUUACUGGGCGUAAAGCGCACGCAGGUGGUAACGCAAGUGGGGUGUGAAAGCCGCCAGCUCAACUGGCGGAGGCCAUCCCAAACUGCGUCACUUGAGGCCUGUAGAGGUAUGUGGAAUUGCCGGUGUAGUGGUGAAAUUCGUAGAUAUUGGGAAGAACACCGGUGGCGAAGGCGGUCACCUGGCCCGCAACUGACGCUGAGGCGCGAAAGCGUGGGGAGCAAACAGGAUUAGAUACCCCCGUAGUCC